UCUACUCGAUUGACCUUGAUCGCGAACUUAACCCUUCUCAAUCCUCUAACACAGCUUUUCGAGAUUCGACACAGCCAACCCGUGCUCAAAUUACAGCUGUUUCGCGGCUCAUUGUUCCACACUGAUGGCUGUUUCAAAUGGCUCUCUGCUGGAACUGUGAAAUAUUUCGAACAUUCCACACCAACUACACAGAUGAUGGUGUGGAGUGGAUGGAUCGCGCCUCGUCACCCGAUUCAGCAUAGGCAAAUGCACUGCACAUUCAAACGAUAAGACGAGCACAUGUUUUAUAUCGGCCACGGGCGACUCCACCUCUCACCUAGCGGCUGGGUUAAAUUAUAAAACUCUUUUGUUGCCCUUCAACUCACUUCGGGCUUGACGCGCUUGAUUGGAGGUAGGGUCGCCAUAUUCGCUCUGAGUGGAAAGAUUUUGUAUAAGAGUUACAGUUUGUUCCAGUUACAGUUUUAAACAGAAAAACUGCUUAUGAAGCUUUAAUGUACGUGUACUCUAAAAGAGUACGUAUGGUAACCCUAAUGGAGAUCGUAAUAUGAUUGUACACGGUAGCAGCUAUAGCAUCCCCAGUGAGACUAUUAUUCUCCAAUAACCCAUUGUCAAUUCAUUGCUAUCAUCGCUGGCCGGAAAGCGUAGUGUGAUCCCCACGGAACGCGGUAAACUUUGGGGCAGACGUUCACUUUGUCAUUUGGUCUUCGCAAAUAGGCAGCUGCGAAAUCUGGUUCCGCAUCUACUUGAACCCGGCACAUUAUCUAGUCAUCGAUUCAAACUAUUUGAUGUAUCUUUCGGAAUUGAAUUCAGUGUGAGAACUAUGUCUCAUUGAUGUUUUCUACUUUAACAAUACAGAGAAUGAAAUUUGAUUUU